UACAGAGGGGGCAAGCGUUGUUCGGAAUUACUGGGCGUAAAGGGCGCGUAGGCGGCCCGCUAAGUCGAACGUGAAAUCCCCAGGCUCAACCUGGGAACUGCGUCCGAUACUGGCAGGCUUGAAUCCGGGAGAGGGAUGUGGAAUUCCAGGUGUAGCGGUGAAAUGCGUAGAUAUCCAGAGGAACACCAGUGGCGAAGGCGGCCUACUGGGCUCCACCUGACACUGAGGCGCGAAAGCGUGGGGAGCGAACCGG
rnacentral:rRNA from 1 species